rnacentral:rRNA from 1 species
GUGGGGAAUCUUGCGCAAUGGGCGAAAGCCUGACGCAGCCAUGCCGCGUGAAUGAUGAAGGUCUUAGGAUUGUAAAAUUCUUUCAGCAGGGACGAUAAUGACGGUACCUGCAGAAGAAGCCCCGGCUAACUUCGUGCCAGCAGCCGCGGUAAUACGAAGGGGGCUAGCGUUGCUCGGAUUUACUGGGCGUAAAGGGCGCGUAGGCGGAUCAGCAAGUUGGGGGUGAAAGCCCGGGGCUCAACCUCGGAACUGCCCUCAAAACUGUUGAUCUUGAGUUUGGGAGAGGUGUGUGGAACUCCGAGUGUAGAGGUGAAAUUCGUAGAUAUUCGGAAGAACACCAGUGGCGAAGGCGACACACUGGCCCAAUACUGACGCUGAGGCGCGAAAGCGUGGGGAGCAAACAGGAUUAGAAACCCGAGUAGUCC